rnacentral:rRNA from 1 species
GACGAACGCUGGCGGCGUGCUUAACACAUGCAAGUCGAACGGAAAGGCCUCUUUCGGGGGGUACUCGAGUGGCGAACGGGUGAGUAACACGUGAGUAACCUGCCCUUGACUUUGGGAUAACUUCAGGAAACUGGGGCUAAUACCGGAUAGGAGCUCCUGCUGCAUGGUGGGGGUUGGAAAGUUUCGGCGGUUGGGGAUGGACUCGCGGCUUAUCAGCUUGUUGGUGGGGUAGUGGCUUACCAAGGCUUUGACGGGUAGCCGGCCUGAGAGGGUGACCGGCCACAUUGGGACUGAGAUACGGCCCAGACUCCUACGGGAGGCAGCAGGGGGGAAUCUUGCACAAUGGGUGGAAGCCUGAUGCAGCAACGCCGUGUGCGGGAUGACGGCCUUCGGGUUGUAAACCGCUUUCGCUCAUGACGAAGCUUUGUGUGACGGUAGUGGGUAAAGAAGCACCGGCUAACUACGUG